GAACAGUUUGCGCCAGCCCAGUUUUUACUCCUAUAAAUUGGGUAGCUGUUGAAUUCAUUUCUUGAAAAAAAGUUCCUUUAAAACCAAAUUUUAUUCAGUAAAAAACAUAUGGUAGAAUUCUUUAUGAUAUGACCCUGUACAAGAUAAGUUAGAUAAAUCCUUACAGGAGUGGUGCUUUGGUAUUAAAAAAAAAACAAAACAAAAAAACUUAUUUUGUUAUGUACAAAGAACAACAUUAUAAAAUGUAAUGGAUUCUUGUGAAGAAUGACAAAUGUAUAAUUUGUUAAAACUAUAGAAUAUGGUGGAAACUUAUGGAUAGGUUUUUAAUGGUGGAUUCGUCAUGAUUAAUGAAACUGUUCAGUACUGUAAAUUACCUUAAGAGAAAUUGUUGUGAAGAAAAAUGAAGGAGAAUAAAUAGCAUCAGUGUAUCUGU
rnacentral:sRNA from 1 species